CUUUACUUAACCCAGUGUUGGAGGAUUUGUUAUUUCUGACAAAUGUGAAUAUAAAUACAAAACGAUAACAAGGGAAUUCUUAGCUGAUCUUUUAGGUAUCAUAUUCGCAGAUAAUGGACUUUUUAUUUUCAAAUCUGAUUACUGCAAGUUAAGAAGCAGCUGUAUUCCGUAUGAUUGACAGGCCUUAGAAGGUGGCACUGCUUAAACAUUUCCUUCUUCAAUAAAAAAUGAGGGCAGAUAUCCACCACAAAAAUUCUGGACAACCCUUCAGCCUACAGGGUAUUGAUAGAGUUGCCUUCAGAGGUCAGUAAACUUCCCCAAAGACACCAUCGCUGCAUCUAAUUCAUCUCUGCUAUACCGUUUGAUAAAGAGUCUAUGUAAAUAAAUACUGAAAGCCCUGUUGACCCCAGGAUAACAACAAGAUUGCACUUUGCAAUGGUAGCAAAGAGAAUUGCUUGAGAUGAGAACUGACAUUGGGGUUCAAGGGUUAAUUUCUGGAACAGGAACAUUUGCAUACAAAUGAAAAAUGACGGAAUUUCUCUUCUCCUAAAUUUUCAAUGUCACCAGCAUCAAACAGCAGCCAGCAAUCCCUUGCUGUUUGAAUGAUAUUCAUUACUUGUGAGGAAAGGGGCACCUUGUUUGGUAUUAAUCACAAUUGCAGGUCAAUGACUUAAUUUACCAAACUCCAUCUGAAGUGCCACUCACUAUGAGUUUUCUCCUGUUUUAUUUUAAUCUACAAGGUUUAU